GACGAACGCUGGCGGCGUGCUUAACACAUGCAAGUCGAACGGAAAGGCCCUGCUUUUGUGGGGUGCUCGAGUGGCGAACGGGUGAGUAACACGUGAGUAACCUGCCCUUGACUUUGGGAUAACUUCAGGAAACUGGGGCUAAUACCGGAUAGGAGCUCCUGCUGCAUGGUGGGGGUUGGAAAGUUUCGGCGGUUGGGGAUGGACUCGCGGCUUAUCAGCUUGUUGGUGGGGUAGUGGCUUACCAAGGCUUUGACGGGUAGCCGGCCUGAGAGGGUGACCGGCCACAUUGGGACUGAGAUACGGCCCAGACUCCUACGGGAGGCAGCAGUGGGGAAUAUUGCACAAUGGGCGGAAGCCUGAUACAGCAACGCCGCGUCCGGGAUGACGGCCUUCGGGUUGUAAACCGCUUUCGCCUGUUACGAAGCGUGAGUGACGGUAAUGGGUAAAGAAGCACCGGCUAACUACGUG
rnacentral:rRNA from 1 species